AUGAGAUGAAGGAGCCACUCCCCAGCCAGAGCAGUGGGGUGGGACUGCCAGCCAGGGACAUGUCCCUCACCAUCUGACAGGGUUAGGUGGAGCAGCUGGAAAACCACUCUCCACAGCAGAGCCCUCAUUCCCACCCCAGAAGAGCCUGCCUACAGACAGGGGAGCUGCUGCCCACCUUUAGUGAAUCAUUAGAGCUGAGCUCCCUUCAACCCCUUCAGCCAGUAUUUAAUCAAGAUUUAUGAGAGCUAUUGAUGUACCUCGUGCGGAUGCAGCACCUCUCCAUGUUGCCAGCACAGACUUACACCCAUGCAUAUCUUUAGUUCUUCCUCUGCAUCCAGUAGAUGCUGCCUUGAUGUGAUUCUCAUGGCAUGCCACAUGUAUUGUGUAAAGAAAUGUGGAAAAUAGGUUUUCUUACGAGUGCUGCUGCACGUGCCACAAACAGCUGG